UGUGAACUCGAAGAGUAGGGCGGGACACGUGGUAUCCUGUCUGAAUAUGGGGGGACCAUCCUCCAAGGCUAAAUACUCCUGACUGACCGAUAGUGAACCAGUACCGUGAGGGAAAGGCGAAAAGAACCCCGGCGAGGGGAGUGAAAAAGAACCUGAAACCGUGUACGUACAAGCAGUGGGAGCACCUUCGGGUGUGACUGCGUACCUUUUGUAUAAUGGGUCAGCGACUUAUAUUCUGUAGCAAGGUUAACCGUAUAGGGGAGCCGCAGGGAAACCGAGUCUUAACUGGGCGUUAAGUUGCAGGGUAUAGACCCGAAACCCGGUGAUCUAGCCAUGGGCAGGUUGAAGGUUGGGUAACACUAACUGGAGGACCGAACCGACUAAUGUUGAAAAAUUAGCGGAUGACUUGUGGCUGGGGGUGAAAGGCCAAUCAAACCGGGAGAUAGCUGGUUCUCCCCGAAAGCUAUUUAGGUAGCGCCUCGUGAACUCAUCUUCGGGGGUAGAGCACUGUUUCGGCUAGGGGGUCAUCCCGACUUACCAACCCGAUGCAAACUACGAAUACCGAAGAAUGUUAUCACGGGAGACACACGGCGGGUGCUAACGUCCGUCGUGAAGAGGGAAACAACCCAGACCGCCAGCUAAGGUCCCAAAGUCAUGGUUAAGUGGGAAACGAUGUGGGAAGGCACAGACAGCCAGGAUGUUGGCUUAGAAGCAGCCAUCAUUUAAAGAAAGCGUAAUAGCUCACUGGUCGAGUCGGCCUGCGCGGAAGAUGUAACGGGGCUAAACCAUGCACCGAAGCUGCGGCAGCGACACUAUGUGUUGUUGGGUAGGGGAGCGUUCUGUAAGCCUGCGAAGGUGACCUGUGAGGGUUGCUGGAGGUAUCAGAAGUGCGAAUGCUGACAUAAGUAACGAUAAAGCGGGUGAAAAGCCCGCUCGCCGGAAGACCAAGGGUUCCUGUCCAACGUUAAUCGGGGCAGGGUGAGUCGACCCCUAAGGCGAGGCCGAAAGGCGUAGUCGAUGGGAAACAGGUUAAUAUUCCUGUACUUGGUGUUACUGCGAAGGGGGGACGGAGAAGGCUAUGUUAGCCGGGCGACGGUUGUCCCGGUUUAAGCAUGUAGGCUGAUUAUCCAGGCAAAUCCGGAUAAUCAAGGCUGAGGUGUGAUGACGAGGCACUACGGUGCUGAAGUAACAAAUGCCCUGCUUCCAGGAAAAGCCUCUAAGCAUCAGGUAACAUCAAAUCGUACCCCAAACCGACACAGGUGGUCAGGUAGAGAAUACCAAGGCGCUUGAGAGAACUCGGGUGAAGGAACUAGGCAAAAUGGUGCCGUAACUUCGGGAGAAGGCACGCUGGUGUGUAGGUGAAGUCCCUGCGGAUGGAGCUGAGACCAGUCGAAGAUACCAGCUGGCUGCAACUGUUUAUUAAAAACACAGCACUGUGCAAACACGAAAGUGGACGUAUACGGUGUGACGCCUGCCCGGUGCCGGAAGGUUAAUUGAUGGGGUUAUCCGUAAGGAGAAGCUCUUGAUCGAAGCCCCGGUAAACGGCGGCCGUAACUAUAACGGUCCUAAGGUAGCGAAAUUCCUUGUCGGGUAAGUUCCGACCUGCACGAAUGGCGUAAUGAUGGCCAGGCUGUCUCCACCCGAGACUCAGUGAAAUUGAACUCGCUGUGAAGAUGCAGUGUACCCGCGGCAAGACGGAAAGACCCCGUGAACCUUUACUAUAGCUUGACACUGAACAUUGAGCCUUGAUGUGUAGGAUAGGUGGGAGGCUUUGAAGCGUGGACGCCAGUCUGCGUGGAGCCAACCUUGAAAUACCACCCUUUAAUGUUUGAUGUUCUAACGUUGGCC
rnacentral:rRNA from 1 species